UCCUGGGUCCUGCAUGUGGGUCCUCUUCAUGCUCUCUCUGCCAUGGGCAUCAGACUCCUCUGCUGGGUGGUCGUCUGGCUCCUGGGGGCAGGUCCCAUGAAUGCUGGCGUCACCCAGAACCCGAGACACCUGGUGAGAAGGACGGGACAGGAGGCAAACCUGACGUGCAGCCCUGAGAAAGGACAUAGUUAUUUUUACUGGUAUCAGCAGCCCCUGGGGGAAGGUCUGAAAUUCAUGGUUUCCCUCCAGAAUGAAAAGACCAUAGACAACUCAGGAAUGCCAAAAAAACGCUUUUCUACUGAAUUUUCCAAAGAGGGAUUCAGCAUCUUAAAUAUCCAGAUGGCAGAGUUGGGAGACUCUGCAGUGUACUUCUGCGCCAGCUCCUUAUCCACAUCAGACCCAGGGCAAGGGCUGAGACUGAUCUACUACUCGCUGAUAGAAAAUGAUAUUCAGAAAGGAGACAUGCCUGAAGCCUACAGUGCCUCUCGGGAGAAGAAAGCAUUCUUCUCCCUCACUGUGACAUCGAUUCGAAAGAAACAGACAGCUCUAUAUCUCUGUGCCAGUAGUAGAGACACAGUGAAGCCCAGCCACGUGCCCUCCAUGCAGAAAUGUGUCUCGAGCCCGGAUUUCCCACCAGGUGGCAGGGUUUUGCUUAAAAAAAUUUCUGAAUUCAAAAUUACACUGGAAGCAAUCAGUAGUAAAUUAAACAAGCCAGGAAACCAGUUUGCUAAUUGUAUGCAAACUCAGGGAAUAUUCCAGGAUUCUGAGGAAAUAGAAAAAAGUAUGUGA